GGUGAAUCAGGCAGUAUUGAAAUCAGACCGUUGGAACGUUCUUGUUUUGCUUUAUUAACUAAUGCUAAUGUGUGCAUCCUUGUAGGGUAAAUCAUUCUCGUUUGGCUCUAAAAUUUUGUUAAAUACAUGCUGCGAGCUUCUGGGUACCCAUAUUAACGGUUGAUAGGCCAUACAAAACUCAAUCCCAGUUCACCAAGUCUUUGUGGAGUAGCCUAGCCUACGAUUGCACGGCGGGACCAGAAUGGCUCCAGGAUUGUCAGCAAUGUUCUCCAGAUUGUUUGUGUAAUUUGGUUUUAAUAGUCUAGAAAUUCCCCAUUAAAUAAAGACUUUGUUGCUGAUGAA